AAUUGGCAUCUCCACAUUGAUCCCUUGAAAACGAACUCUCCAAAUCCAGGCACAGGGAAAGGGAAGAAAGAAAAGCAUUACGAGCAGAACCAUCAUAUAUGACUUUUUUUUUUCCAAAAAAUGAUGGUGCCUCAGGAAAAAGUCAUGUUUAAUUAAUCAAACCUAAGUAGAAUGUUAUCUAAUUAUUUAUUAAAGUCACAAAAG
rnacentral:misc_RNA from 1 species